GCCAUAGCUCAGUGCCAGAACGUUUGCUUUGCACGCAUAUGGCCACUGGUUCAACCCCUGGUUGGGAAUG